rnacentral:rRNA from 1 species
AUACGGAGGAUCCAAGCGUUAUCCGGAUUUAUUGGGUUUAAAGGGUGCGCAGGCGGCCUUAUAAGUCAGUGGUGAAAUCUCCCGGCUCAACCGGGAAACUGCCAUUGAUACUGUAAGGCUAGAAUACAGACGAGGUAGGCGGAAUGUAGCAUGUAGCGGUGAAAUGCUUAGAUACGCUACAGAACACCGAUCGCGAAGGCAGCUUACCAGACUGUAAUUGACGCUAAGGCACGAAAGCGUGGGGAGCGAACAGGAUUAGAUACCCGGGUAGUCC